GGAAGGGUCUCUUUCUAGAGAUCUCUCCCUUUGGUGUUUUCUACUGAGAGCCUUGGACAUGGGUGUAGGAGCUUCUUCGUGUAGCCGAGGGGUCUGGCUGCUUGCAGCAGAGCAGAAGCGUACCUGAGCCCUGUGUGCCCCUGAAUGGAAGCAGGGGGCCGCUCUCAGUAGCUACAAACACUUGUGAAACUGCAAAGCAGAUGUUUGUAUUAUCUAAUGAGUCCCAAGCGAUCUUAAUUGGCAGUUUUGAGAUGUUGCUGUUUCAAAGAUGCAUCUGACUACACACAGGUGCUGUAUUCGCGCACAGCUGCUUUUGGGGGCUGUGUCCAUCUAAGGAGUAUUUCUCAGCUGUGACUGUAGCAGGGAAAUGGCUGUGGGCUGCCUCACACAGUCCCAGCCCUGCCCUGCACGCCCUGGAGCUUGCAGCCAAGCCCCUUUGGCAGCAAUGACACUGAGCUGCAGACGUGAUUCUAGAUGCAGCAAUGGGACCAUGUGGGAUGCUUGGUGCCAGCUGGGUUGGGAAGAGCUGCUCUUGCCACGAAUGCUACAGAAAGAUUUUGGAGUCACUGUGUCAGCUGUAUCUGUCAACACACCUCUGUGAAAGUGAUACCAGCACAUUCACAGCUUCAGAGGCAGCCUCAUAAAUUGCCAUGCUCAGCAAGUUAUGGGUGUUACUGCAUGAACUUCUAAUGAGGUAUCUUAUGGAAAUGCAUCAGAGACUGAGUUGGACUCACUAUCAGAGCAGUCCAUCGAGGACAGAAAGUGCUGCCAUCCAACAUCAAAUGAACAGCACCUGCACAACUGUUCAUAUUCACAGAUGAGUCCAUUUUAAACUCAUUCUGAGAAUGCUGAAUUUGAUAGUUUAAGAGCUAAUUUAAUGUUGUUCAUGAUCAUCUAGCAGUGGACGUCAAAAGAAGACUGAAAAUACACGAUAACAUUGGCAAGCAAAUGCUGAAAUCUCAUAGAUUCUGCAAGGCUAGAGAGGGAUCACAGUAAUGAUUCUUCAGAAGGCUGACAGGAGAAUUAACAGUCUUUUUUCGUUUCUUGAUAAGAAAGUAAAUAGAUAAUUUACAAAAUAAAGUGUACAGGAAAGAAGAUCCAGACUGCUGUCACGCCAUAAUCAAGGUUUAACCUUUAAUAUCACAGUGUAAAAGUUUACCUUGGCAGUAAAGUCAUCAUUGUUAGGUUACACAGUGCAAAGCAACUUGUACAUCUUCAGCAUAACACAUGAGAAAAGAACGUGUAGAGUCACUGCCAGGUUUCUGAGGAGUAAAUGCCAUGCGGUGCUGCCAGAAGGGCUCCACCAACAUCACAUGUGUUCUAGGGAUACAUACUGAGGGCUGGAUAACUGAGAAAGAAUCAGAAAAUUGGGAUAAUUGCUAGCUUUCAUGAGGCAGAUUAUAUUUCAGAAAGGAUAAAGGGAAAAAAAGAGACUUACUUAAGUGAAACUAGUAAUUUUUUUCUGGACUUUGGGCAGGCAUGCAAGUAUGCACCAUGU